GCCCAGGUGGUGGAAUUGGUAGACACGCAGGACUUAAAAUCCUGUUCCAAUCUGGAGUGCGGGUUCGAUUCCCGCCCUGGGCACCA
rnacentral:tRNA from 1 species